rnacentral:misc_RNA from 1 species
GACGAAGGUGGCUAGCGUUAUUCGGAUUUACUGGGCAUAAAGCGCGCGUAGGCGGCCCGGUCAGUCGGGGGUGAAAGCCCGCAGCUCAACUGCGGAAUUGCCUCCGAUACUGCCGGGCUUGAGUGCAGGAGGGGUGACUGGAACUCCAGGUGUAGCGGUGAAAUGCGUAGAUAUCUGGAGGAACACCAGAGGCGAAGGCGGGUCACUGGACUGCAACUGACGCUGAGGCGCGAAAGCUAGGGGAGCGAACAGG